AGCGGCGGACGGGUGAGUAAUGCUUAGGAAUUUGCCCAGUCGAGGGGGACAACAGUUGGAAACGGCUGCUAAUACCGCAUACGCCCUACGGGGGAAAGCAGGGGCUCUUCGGACCUUGCGCGAUUGGAUAAGCCUAAGUGAGAUUAGCUAGUUGGUGAGGUAAUGGCUCACCAAGGCGACGAUCUCUAGCUGGUUUGAGAGGAUGAUCAGCCACACUGGGACUGAGACACGGCCCAGACUCCUACGGGAGGCAGCAGUGGGGAAUAUUGCACAAUGGGCGAAAGCCUGAUGCAGCCAUGCCGCGUGUGUGAAGAAGGCCUUCGGGUUGUAAAGCACUUUCAGCGAGGAGGAAAGGUUGACGGUUAAUACCCGUCAGCUGUGACGUUACUCGCAGAAGAAGCACCGGCUAACUCCGUGCCAGCAGCCGCGGUAAUACGGAGGGUGCGAGCGUUAAUCGGAAUUACUGGGCGUAAAGCGCAUGCAGGCGGCCAAGUCAGUCAGAUGUGAAAGCCCCGGGCUUAACCUGGGAAUUGCAUUUGAUACUGCUUGG
rnacentral:rRNA from 1 species